UUACGGCCAUAUCGGAUUGAAACAACGGCUCCCGUACAAUCACCGAAAUUAAGCAACGAUGAGCCUGGUCAUUACCUAGAUGCAUGACCACUUGGGAAUACCAGUUGCUGUAUG